rnacentral:rRNA from 1 species
CCCCUAGAUGUUCUGGGCCGCACGCGCGCUACACUGAACAGUUCAACAAGUCUUAACCUUGGCCGAUAGGUCUGGGUAAUCUUUGAACGCUGUUCGUGAUUGGGAUAGACCUUUGCAAUUAUGGGUCUUCAACGAGCAAUUCCUAGUAAACGCAAGUCAUCAGCUUGCAUUGAUUACGUCCCUGCCCUUUGUACACACCGCCCGUCGCACCUACCGAUUGAAUGGUCCGGUGAAAUCUCGGGACGGCGGCUUGGUCGCUUGCGUCCGACUGCUGAAACUUGAUUAAACCAUAUCAUUUAGAGGAAGGUGAAGUCGUANCA